GGCCGACUGGCCUAAUGGUUAAGGCGUCAGUUUCCGGUUGCCUAGUAAUGUAAAUUAUCAGGCUGGUCAGCUGAAGAUUCUGGGUUCGAAUCCCAGGUUGGUCG
rfam:Daedalea quercina L-15889 unplaced genomic scaffold DAEQTscaffold_45, whole genome shotgun sequence.